rnacentral:rRNA from 1 species
ACCAGACUCCUACGGGAGGCAGCAGUGGGGAAUAUUGCACAAUGGGGGGAACCCUGAUGCAGCGACGCCGCGUGGGUGAAGGAGUAUUUCGGUAUGUAAAGCCCUAUCAGCAGGGAAGAACAAUGACGGUACCUGACUAAGAAGCACCGGCUAAAUACGUGCCAGCAGCCGCGGUAAUACGUAGGGGGCAAGCGUUAUCCGGAUUCACUGGGUGUAAAGGGAGCGUAGACGGCGACGCAAGUCUGGAGUGAAAGCCCGGGGCCCAACCCCGGGACUGCUCUGGAAACUGUGUAACUUGAGUGCAGGAGAGGUAAGCGGAAUUCCUAGUGUAGCGGUGAAAUGCGUAGAUAUUAGGAGGAACACCAGUGGCGAAGGCGGCUUACUGGACUGUAACUGACGUUGAGGCUCGAAAGCGUGGGGAGCAAACAGGAUUAGAUACCCCAGUA